rnacentral:rRNA from 1 species
UACGUAGGCUGCAAGCGUUGUUCGGAGUUACUGGGCGUAAAGGGUGUGUAGGCGGCUCUGUAAGUAUGGCGUGAAAUCUCCCGGCUUAACUGGGAGGGUGCGCUGUAGACUGCGGGGCUCGAGUGUGGGAGAGGAAAGUGGAAUUCCUGGUGUAGCGGUGAAAUGCGUAGAUAUCAGGAGGAACACCGGUGGUGUAAACGGCUUUCUGGACCAUAACUGACGCUGAGGCACGAAAGCGUGGGUAGCAAACAGG